AUUGAACGCUGGCGGCAUGCUUUACACAUGCAAGUCGAACGGUAACAGGCCUUCGGGUGCUGACGAGUGGCGAACGGGUGAGUAAUGCAUCGUAACGUACCCAGAGGUGGGGGAUAACGCAUCGAAAGCUGUGCUAAUACCGCAUGUGAUCUGAUGAUUAAAGCUGGGGACCGACCAGCAAUGUUUGGCCUCGCGCCUUUGUAGCGGCCUAUGUCGGCUUAGCUAGUUGGGGGGUUAAAGGCCUACCAAGGCGACGAUCCGUAGCUGGUCUGAGAGGACGACUAGACAGACUGGCAGUGAGACACGGCAGAGACUCCGAGGGGGGGAAACAGUGGGGAAUCCUGGACAAGGGGGGAAAGCCGGAUACAGCAAAGCCGGGGGAGGGAAGAAGGCCUUAGGGUUGGAAACCGAUGUUGGCAGGAACGAAACGGUGUCCGCUAAUACCGGGCGCUAAUGACGGUACCUGCAGAAUAAGCACCGGCUAACUACGUG
rnacentral:rRNA from 1 species